AUUGACUGCACGAUAUAUUAUGGACGUUGUCAGGAUCUAUCUCCUCUUUUGCGCAGCUCUUUUCCACUGCACGUACUAUUCAGGUGUCGCAGGGAAACACGCAAAAAAAAUAUCCGUAAGAGGCGGCGUUCCAAACGACAGUGGACACCAGGCUAACAGUAAAUUUAUAAAAAUGUCUUUCUUAAAUGCUUUAAAAAUUUAUAGCUCGAAAAUUGCGGAUGACGAAAUGGAAUAAAAAAAGGCGGAAUUUGAUAAUCAAGUGCUGUGGUGGCAACUCGUGUUUGGACCCACCAGACAAAAUAACCAAAUAUCGACAGAAUAAAACCACAACACAAAUAACUCGAAAGCCAGGCCCUAUCUCGACUAAAUCGGCAGAGACCUUAAAAGAAAUAGCCGAAACAAAUUUGAAGAACGCGCCGACUGAAGCCUCUGGCCAAAUCACGAAUGGCAAUGAUCAAACUCUGGAGG